rnacentral:rRNA from 1 species
UACGUAGGGGGCAAGCGUUGUCCGGAUUUAUUGGGCGUAAAGAGCUCGUAGGUGGUUUGGUUAGUCGGAUGUGAAAUCUCCAGGCUCAACCUGGAGGGGUCAUUCGAUACUGCCAUGACUAGAGGUCGGUAGGGGAGUGUGGAAUUCCUGGUGGAGCGGUGAAAUGCGCAGAUAUCAGGAGGAACACCCGUAGCGAAGGCGGGUCUCUGGGCCGAUAUUGACGCUGAGGAGCGAAAGCGUGGGGAGCGAACAGG